UUUUUUUUUUUUUUUUUUUUGAGACAAAGUCUCGCUCUGUUCCCCAAGCUGGAGUGCAGUGGUGCCAUCUCCGCUCACUGGAUGCUCCGCAUCCCAGGUUCAUGCCAUUCUCCUGCCUCUGCCUCCCAAGUAGCUGGGACUACAGGUGCCCGCCACCAUGCCCAGCUAAUUUUUUGUAUUUUUAGUAGACAUGAAGUUUCAUCGUGUUAGCCAGGAUGGUCUCAAUCUCCUGACCUCAUGAUCCACCCACCUCGGCCUCCCAAAGUGCUGGGAUUACAGGCAUGAUCCACCGCGCCCAGUCGCAUCUCAGAAAUUUUGAUAAUUUGUAUUUUCAUUUAUUUCAAAAUAUAUUUUCUCUUGAGACUUCUUUGACCUAUGUGUUUAAAAGUGUGCUCCUUAAUCUACAAGUAUUUUGGGAUUUUCCAGGUAUUUUCUAAUUUAAUUCCUUUGUAGUUAAAGACAUACAUUCUAUGGUGUCUUUUAUUAAAAGUUAAUUACCCCUUUAUCACCAUAUGUUGCUUGAUCAUUUUCCUUGUUCUGAAGUCAGCUUUGUAUGAAAUUAAUAUAGCUACUCCAGCUUUCUUUUCAUGAGUGUAGUUUGAUAUGUUAGUCUAUCUAGGCUACCCUAACAAAAUACCAUACACUAGGUGACUUAAACAACAUAAAUUUUCUUUUUCUCAAAUUUCUGAAGACUGGAAGUCUGGGAUCAGGGUGUCAUCACAAUUUCUGGGGAAGGCUUUCUCAUUUGUAGACAGCUACCUUCUAGUCGUAUCUUCACAUGGCAAAGAGAGCAAGCUCUCUGUGUCCCUUCUUAUAAGGACACUAACCUUAUGUUAGUCAUGGUGCCACCUAACCUUAAUUAUCUUCCAAGAUCCCUAUCUGCAAAUACUAUCACACUGGGGGUUAGGGCUUCAACAUACAAAUUUGGGGAACAGGGGGAACACGAACAUUCAGUCCAUUAACACAGGAUGUAUCUUUCUCCAUCUUUGUAUUUAAAGUGGAUUUCUUGUUUAGUCUUGUUUUUUAAUCUUCUGUGACAGUAUCUGUGUAUUUGUGUAUUUAGACAACUCACAUUUAAACUGAUUGAUAUAAAUUACUAUAUCUGUUAAUGUUUUCUAUUAAUUGCUCUUCUUUUGUUCUUGUCUUCCACUUUUCUGCCUUCUCUAAGUUUAAUCUAGCAUCCUGUACAAUUCCAUUGUCUCUGCUCUCUUACCAGGAUUAAACAGAUAUGUAACAAUCUACCAUCAUGUGAACUGGCUCUCUGAUUGUUGCAAAAUAAGAUUAAAAUGGAUGAACUUCUGGACACAGUCAAAUGAUAGAAGAGAAUAAUUAUGUAACAUGAAAAAUAACAGCAUGUAUCAAAUAGUGGUUACCCCAAGGCAGAGAGGACGACCUAGAUAGGAAAUACCAAAGGACAUUUCACUUUUAUCUGUAAUAUCUGCAUUUAUUUCUUGUAUAAUAAAAAAUAAAUUAAAAAUUUUACAUCUCUACAAGCUAAAAAAAAAAAAGGCAAGAUUCCAUCAAAACAAAGUUGUAGGAUAAACAAUAAUCUAGGAAAAGUAUUAAGAAUAUUAAAAAUAAGCCAUUAGCAACUUUUCACUU
rnacentral:lncRNA from 1 species